rnacentral:rRNA from 1 species
UACGGGGGGGGCAAGCGUUGUUCGGAAUUACUGGGCGUAAAGGGCUCGUAGGUGGCCAACUAAGUCAGACGUGAAAUCCCUCGGCUUAACCGGGGAACUGCAUCUGAUACUGGAUGGCUUGAGUUUGGGAGAGGGACGCGGAAUUCCAGGUGUAGCGGUGAAAUGCGUAGAUAUCAGGAAGAACACCCGUGGCUAAGGCGGCUCUCUAGUACGGUACUGACGCUGAGACGCGAAAGCGUGGGGAGCGAACAGG